UACGAAGGGGGCUAGCGUUGCUCGGAAUCACUGGGCGUAAAGGGUGCGUAGGCGGGUCUUAAGUCAGGGGGUGAAAUCCUGGAGCUCAACUCCAGAACUGCCUUUGAUACUGAGGAUCUUGAGUUCGGGAGAGGUGAGUGGAACUGCGAGUGUAGAGGUGAAAUUGUAGAUAUUCGCAAGAACACCAGUGGCGAAGGCGGCUCACUGGCCCGAUACUGACGCUGAGGCACGAAAGCGUGGGGAGCAAACAGG
rnacentral:rRNA from 1 species